CAUUGAUUGUAGAAAUGAGUCCUUUUUGGUUAUGAGAUCAUUAAGGAUAAAAGCUUCUUCAAUGAUUUGAUUUGCAUGAUUUUUGGUUCUUAUAUUUACAAUAAUGAUGCCAACUGUGGUAGCAUUGAUGAUGCCUUAAGGCUGUUUGCUAAAAUGUCUGAGAGAAGGUAUUUAUAGCUUUUCCACAGCUUCUGAAGUACUCAAGCUCACGGGCUAAUGUUUGUUUCUUUUGACUUUAAAUAUUGAACAGGUAAAUGACAGUAAGUUCAGGCAAGAGUAUAAAAAAGUGCCAUUUCUUCCCCAUUUGUGGCUAAUGUAUUUUCAGCUCCACAGAUCAAUGUUGCCACUACAAGCUUCAAUAUUGAAAUGUGAUUAUCAGAAGUAGUGGGCCAUCAUUGAAAGAUUACCCUUGUAGUGAGUCCAGAUGGGAGAGGACAAGGAUCUUUCAGUUAUGGAGAAAGUUAAUUUUUCAAAAGCUGUUCC